rnacentral:rRNA from 1 species
CUGCAUGGCUGUCGUCAGCUCGUGUCGUGAGAUGUUGGUUAAGUCCGCAACGAGCGCAACCCUUGUCCUUAGUUGCCAGCAUUCAGUUGGGCACUCUAAGGAGACUGCCGGUGUCAAACCGGAGGAAGGUGGGGAUGACGUCAAGUCCUCAUGGCCCUUAUGUCCAGGGCUACACACGUGCUACAAUGGCCGGUACAAAGGGGCGCAAGACCGCGAGGUGGAGCAAAUCCCAAAAAACCGGUCUCAGUUCGGAUUGGAGUCUGCAACUCGACUCCAUGAAGUUGGAAUCGCUAGUAAUCGCGUAUCAGCAUGACGCGGUGAAUACGUUCCCGGGCCUU